rnacentral:rRNA from 1 species
UACAGAGGUCUCAAGCGUUGUUCGGAUUCAUUGGGCGUAAAGGGUGCGCAGGUGGGUUGGCAAGUUUGAUGUGAAAGCCCCGGGCUUAACCCGGGAAUGGCAUUGAAUACUGCUGAUCUGGAGGAUUGGAGGGGGGACUGGAAUUCUUGGUGUAGCAGUGAAAUGCGUAGAUAUCAAGAGGAACACCAGUGGCGAAGGCGAGUCCCUGGACAAUACCUGACACUGAGGCACGAAAGCUAGGGGAGCAAACAGG